UCUGUACAUUGUAAUCUAGAUAAUGCAAAACUGAGUGGAAAUAAGUCAACGCCACCUUGGACCAAUGAAUCAACCAGGAAAAUUGCCAUUAAUGAGUUGAGUUUAAACCCUCUCCGAUGGAAGAGAAAUUCUUGAAUUUAAACCCAUAACCACACUUAACCUAAUUCUAUGUGUUGAGUCUGAAUAUCCCCAUGGUCUUUCCUAAUUCUACCUGAUACAUGCCAAUCUAACAGAGAGAUGGAAUAACCCUAACUUUGAGAAGUUAAAUUAAAUGGUGCGGAUUCUCAGAUUCACGCUCAAACAUUGGGGCUAUGGACGUCAGGAACGUACUCUACAAAAUGGUAACCAAAUCAUGGCAGGCAGAAGGGAAAGAAGGUUUACCUCCGAAACGAAGAAAUUUUUCGGCAAAGGUUGAAACGGAGAAUACGGAGGCGCGGCGGAAAAUCACUUGAAAACAGGUGCCGAUUUCUCAUGAUUCAAUGCAAGGAGCUCAAUUGCAAUUGUCGUUCGAUUAAUAGCCGUUAUAGCUCCGAGGACACCAGUAUGUCAAGCAGAUUAUGUCCACAUAUAUGAUCCUCCAGAAUUUCUUCUGCAGAAUGUUAUUCUUACAAAAGAGUCGUUCUUUCAGCCGAUUACCUAGUUUCAUAAGGCUUCGUCUUUGUGUAUCAUCAAACUUCAACCUUGUUAUGGACGAAUCUUAGUGUGGCGUACUGAACAACUACUAAAUUUGUCAAUGGUACUGAAUUUUCUGCAUCAGUUUCUUGAGUUGUGCCACCUUAAAAACGGAGCUUCAUUUUACUCGAAUAGAUAUUAUCACCUGUAUGCCUGCAGCUUUACCUUCGACUCAAUGGAAAUCAGUAGGGCAUAAUUUGAGAACUGACCAAUGCAGCGUGUACCCUGGUGUUUUUUCCGACUACAACACGGUCCAUUCUUUGGGAAGCGCAAAAUAUUGGUUUUCAUCAUAAUAGACCAAAUCUUGCCCGUGCCAUGUUAAGUGCAGCGACUAAUGUUCUACCAGAUCAUAGUGUUAUAGAAAGAAGUAAACCAAUCGAAAGAUACUGACAAAUGCGUCUGAGUUUAUUUGCUUUCUUCUUUAUUGAGCUUUACAUUUUAAGUAUAUGUUCCCUUGAAGCGACAAUUACUGCAUCAUA